rnacentral:rRNA from 1 species
UACAGAGGGGGCAAGCGUUAUUCGGAAUUAUUGGGCGUAAAGGGCGCGUAGGCGGCCAGUGCAAGUCAGUUGUGAAAUCUCCGAGCUUAACUCGGAAAGGUCAACUGAUACUGCUCGGCUAGAGUGCGGAAGGGGCAACUGGAAUUCUUGGUGUAGCGGUGAAAUGCGUAGAUAUCAAGAGGAACACCUGCGGCGAAGGCGGGUUGCUGGGCCGACACUGACGCUGAAGCGCGAAAGCUAGGGGAGCGAACGGG